GACUUUAGGUCUCCUGAAGGAACGUUGAAGACGACGACGUUGAUAGGCCGGGUGUGUAAGCGCAGCGAUGCGUUGAGCUAACCGGUACUAAUGAACCGUGAGGCUUAACCUUACAACGCCGAAGCUGUU
rnacentral:rRNA from 1 species